rnacentral:rRNA from 1 species
CCUGAGAAACCCAAAAGAUCGAAUGGGGAGAUUCAUCGUCAGCUCAUUUUGUAUAUGUAUAAGUUAUGAUGCGGGUUACUACUUGUAGUAUUGCUUGCACAUUCUUGUAUAUUUAAUUGCAAGAUGUUGUCGGCGUGCACUUCUCCCCUAGUAGAACGUCGCGACCUGUUGGGUGUCGGUCUACGACCUAAGUGAUAGACUUUAAUGUGUAAUUUAAAAAGCAUAUUAAAAAUCCUUGGUGUUUUCUGACCGGCUACUUGGCAGUAUUCGUACGGUAUUUAGCCGCUAAAUUUUUAUUAAGCGUUCAUAUCCGUCACAAGCGAGGCUAAUUUACUGAUAGUACGGACUUAGUGCCGUCGUUGGUAUUGGCCAGCUGUUGGUUGUAUGGUAUUCUAGAACUGGCUAAAAUUAAAUUACCGGUCGGCGAUGCUACUGCUUUGGGUACUUUCAGG